rnacentral:rRNA from 1 species
UUNUGAACUGGGUGACUAGAGUGUGUCAGAGGGAGGUAGAAUUCCACGUGUAGCAGUGAAAUGCGUAGAGAUGUGGAGGAAUACCGAUGGCGAAGGCAGCCUCCUGGGAUAACACUGACGUUCAUGCUCGAAAGCGUGGGUAGCAAACAGGAUUAGAUACCCUGGUAGUCCACGCCCUAAACGAUGUCAAUUAGCUGUUGGGCAACUUGAUUGCUUAGUAGCGUAGCUAACGCGUGAAAUUGACCGCCUGGGGAGUACGGUCGCAAGAUUAAAACUCAAAGGAAUUGACGGGGACCCGCACAAGCGGUGGAUGAUGUGGAUUAAUUCGAUGCAACGCGAAGAACCUUACCUGGUCUUGACAUGUACGGAAUCCUCCAGAGACGGAGGAGUGCCUUCGGGAGCCGUAACACAGGUGCUGCAUGGCUGUCGUCAGCUCGUGUCGUGAGAUGUUGGGUUAAGUCCCGCAACGAGCGCAACCCUUGUCAUUAGUUGCCAUCAUUUAGUUGGGCACUCUAAUGAGACUGCCGGUGACAAGCCGGAGGAAGGUGGGGAUGACGUCAAGUCCUCAUGGCCCUUAUGACCAGGGCUUCACACGUCAUACAAUGGUCGGUACAGAGGGUAGCCAAGCCGCGAGGUGGAGCCAAUCUCACAAAACCGAUCGUAGUCCGGAUUGCACUCUGCAACUCGAGUGCAUGAAGUCGGAAUCGCUAGUAAUCGCAGGUCAGCAUACUGCGGUGAAUACGUUCCCGGGUCUUGUACACACCGCCCGUCACACCAUGGGAGUGGGGGAUACCAGAAGUAGGUAGGGUAACCGCAAGGAGCC